UCAGUCGGUCGUCGCCUCAAGGCUCGUCUCUAAUAAUCAAGAAGCAACCAGGCUUGUCUUUUUUCUUAUGUUGCUUCAUCCGAUGACAACAGUGGCCAAGGAGAAGAUUUCCAUGGCGAGGAACCCUAUUACCACCUCUUCGACCCACUCCACGGCCGUAUCAUUGGCACCCACAGAUCACAAAGCCCCAUCGUUAAGAGACGGCAGCCAAAGCAAUAGCAGCAGAAGCGGUAAGAGGAAUACCUCAGCCGCUAAUUUUGUCGCUCGAGGAGGAGACGCCGGCCUCCAGCCGCGGGAUAUCGCGGUCAACAAGGUGAGAAGAGGGGAGCGCUUUGCAGCGGAGGAAGAAGAGGACAUCUGUAAUCACAUCAAAUAUUUAAGUUAGGAAUUGAUUUUCUUUCCUUGUUAUUAUAAUUUAAGAAAAUCUUAAUCUACUUCCUUAUAUGUUGAUAUGAAUUAAGAAAAUAACUAGUAAGUAUUCCAAAUAUGAUGAUAUCAUAUUUGGUAGUAUAUUAAAUGAAAAUAAUUUAUAAAUACGAAAAUUAAAAAUUUAUUUCCCUUAAUAGAGACUCACCUCCUCCUAUUUAAAGGGGAGGGAUCUCUCUCCUUCGUUCCUCACCUAGUCGAGCCUGGCAGCGGGAGGAACGAGGAGUUACACCCUGUUAACAAGAGAACGAGGAGUUACACCCUAUUGACAAGAGGUAAGUUUCCUACCUUUCUUAAAAGUUUUAGUUUUUAUUUUGAUUCUUUAAAUGUUGAAAGUUUUAUAGUUUGAAAAAUGUGUAUCAAUUUUUUAAAUGUCAAAUUUUUUGUAUUAAAAUAAUCAGUUAAAAUUUUCAUAAUAUUCUUUGACCCAUGAUUAAGGUUUUUAUUGUAGAAUUAAAUAUGUUAAAAAGGUAUAUGUUUUAUAUGAUAUUUUCUGUAUUACAGUUUAUCUUUAAUCUUAUCUGGAUUAAAAUCUUGUUAGACUAGAAUAUGUUAUCUAAAAUCUCUUUUUGAUAUUUUUUGAUCUGAAAUUUAAAAUAUAUUAUUCUGAAUGAUUUAAAAUAUGACUAGAAUAUGUUGAAAUUUUAUUUGUUGAAAACAUGAUUUUUAUUUAAAUUUAGAAAGCUAUUUCCUUGUUGUAAAACUUAUCUCCUAGUCCUUCUUUUAAUGUCUUAUGAUUUCUAGUCAAAUUGAGAAUGUUAUUUCUUUGUAUUAAAACUUUUUAACUCAUCUAUCUUUUAAUACAUUAUUAUGUUUUCAUAUAUGUUGUUAAUGAGUAUAUGUUAUGACUAGUCCAUAGGCCAGGGCUGGACCAGUUUUAUGUAAUGCAUGCUCAAUCAUGUAUAAUGCACAUGACCAAUAGACGGACUAGCUCAAUCUAGCCCAAUAUUAUUGUUGAACUUGAGCCCAAAUAUUGAUUGAAUUAAACUAUACUUGAUUAGUCUAGAUCAAUUCAGGGUGAUUCCGAAUUGAUUGACUUAUUCAAGUUAGUUUAACCUAAAUUGAACUUAAUCUAGUCUAAAUUAUACUAGUCUAGGGUGGUUCCAGGCCAGUUAAAUAAGGAUUAGAGAUCAGUUCAGUUAGGCUCUAGUAAAUCGAGUUCAAUUGAAUCGAUUAGAGUUCAAGUGAAUUGAGGGUUAAUUUAUAUUAUUUGAUAUUGAUGAUUUUUGAAAGAGAUGUUUUAAAUUUGUUAUUUCAUCCCGAAAUGGAUAUGACCAGUGUGAGAUUAUAUUCCUGCCGAGAGCAGGUAGGGCGAUUCCCUUCGGGGAUUAGUGGGCCGUUAGACGUGGCGGCUGGACGGUUCCUCCAUCCGCUGUUGGGAGGAACGUGUCCCCACUUUGGCGGGUGUGGGACACCACUCCAUCCGCUGUUGGGAGAACACAAACUCAUCUCGUAGGAUAAAGCCUCUCCAUCCGCUGUUGGGGGAGUGCUCCUUCGGGUACUUGAUAUACGCCAGUGGGAUGAUUGAUUGAAUUUUGAUCAUGUAUUUAUUUUGAUUUGACUUUUGGGGUUCCUACUCAGCAUUGUUGAAUUUUCUUUGUUUUUGAUUUUCAGAGCAGUCUCCCUCUAGUACUAAAUCGAAUUCCAGUAGAGAGCGAAUCUUCAUCUACCGCUAGGAUGUGACAACAUCAACGAGGUGGCCGAUGCCUUCAUCAGGCGCUUCAGAGAGCAGCUCCAGCUGCAGCGCCUCCAGUCCAUCGAGAAUUAUAAUCAAAUGCUCGCUAGAGGUCUGUGAAUUAAUUGCAUAGCGUGUGGGAUGUCGGUUUGUGCUGUUCACUUAAUCUUUAUUUAUUAGGGAUGGGAAAAGGUCCUCAAUUA